rnacentral:rRNA from 1 species
AUUGAACGCUGGCGGCAUGCUUUACACAUGCAAGUCGAACGGUAACAGGCCGCAAGGUGCUGACGAGUGGCGAACGGGUGAGUAAUGCAUCGGAACGUGCCCAGUCGUGGGGGAUAACGCAGCGAAAGCUGCGCUAAUACCGCAUACGAUCUAUGGAUGAAAGCGGGGACCGUAAGGCCUCGCGCGAUUGGAGCGGCCGAUGUCAGAUUAGGUAGUUGGUGGGGUAAAGGCUCACCAAGCCAACGAUCUGUAGCUGGUCUGAGAGGACGACCAGCCACACUGGGACUGAGACACGGCCCAGACUCCUACGGGAGGCAGCAGUGGGGAAUUUUGGACAAUGGGCGCAAGCCUGAUCCAGCAAUGCCGCGUGCAGGAAGAAGGCCUUCGGGUUGUAAACUGCUUUUGUACGGAGCGAAAAGGCUCUCUCUAAUACAGGGGGCUCAUGACGGUACCGUAAGAAUAAGCACCGGCUAACUACGUGCCAGCAGCCGCCGUAACAC